rnacentral:lncRNA from 1 species
GAAGCAGCAGUAGCAGCAGCAACCUCGCGCGAAACUUUCCACCGUAGCUCUGCAUAAACAUUACGAGCAAAAGUGAAAGUAGCGCGCGCCGUCACCAAAGUAAAGUUUCCUCGAAAGGUGGAGAGCAGUACCGGGUACUUGCACCCUCGAUGCCAUUGAGUCACGUGAGAAUCGAAAAAGAAAGCUUCGGAUUUAUUGAAUUCGAGAAGAACAAAGAGAAAAAUGGAUAAACGAAGACACAGGAGAAUAAAAGUAAGAA